rnacentral:rRNA from 1 species
UUUCCGGUUGAUCCUGCCGGACCUGACUGCUAUCGGAUUGAUACUAAGCCAUGCGAGUCAUUGUAGUAAUACAAGGCAGACGGCUCAGUAACGCGUAGUCAACCUAACCUAUGGACGGGAAUAACCUCGGGAAACUGAGUAUAAUGCCCGAUAGAACAUUAUGCCUGGAAUGGUUUAUGUUCCAAAUGAUUUAUCGCCGUAGAUGGGACUGCGGCCUAUCAGUUUGUUGGUGAGGUAAUGGCCCACCAAGACUAUUACAGGUACGGGCUCUGAGAGGAGUAGCCCGGAGAUGGGUACUGAGACACGGACCCAGGCCCUAUGGGGCGCAGCAGGCGAGAAAACUUUGCAAUGUGCGAAAGCACGACAAGGUUAGUCCGAGUGGUUUCUGCUAAAGGAACCUUUUGUCGGUCCUAGAAACACCGAUGAAUAAGGGGUGGGCAAGUUCUGGUGUCAGCCGCCGCGGUAAAACCAGCACCUCAAGUGGUCAGGAUGAUUAUUGGGCCUAAAGCAUCCGUAGCCGGCUCUGUUAAGUUUUCGGUUAAAUCUGUACGCUCAACGUACAGGCUGCCGGGAAUACUGCAGAGCCUAGGG